AGGGUUCGAUUCUGGCUCAGGAUGAACGCUGGCGGCGUGCUUAACACAUGCAAGUCGAACGGGAUCCCAGGAGCUUGCUCCUGGGUGAGAGUGGCGAACGGGUGAGUAAUGCGUGACCGACCUGCCCCAUACACCGGAAUAGCUCCUGGAAACGGGUGGUAAUGCCGGAUGCUCCAGUUGACCGCAUGGUCCUCUGGGAAAGCUUUUGCGGUAUGGGAUGGGGUCGCGUCCUAUCAGCUUGAUGGCGGGGUAACGGCCCACCAUGGCUUCGACGGGUAGCCGGCCUGAGAGGGCGACCGGCCACAUUGGGACUGAGAUACGGCCCAGACUCCUACGGGAGGCAGCAGUGGGGAAUAUUGCACAAUGGGCGCAAGCCUGAUGCAGCGACGCCGCGUGCGGGAUGACGGCCUUCGGGUUGUAAACCGCUUUUGACUGGGAGCAAGCCCUUCGGGGUGAGUGUACCUUUCGAAUAAGCACCGGCUAACUACGUGCCAGCAGCCGCGGUAAUACGUAGGGUGCAAGCGUUAUCCGGAAUUAUUGGGCGUAAAGGGCUCGUAGGCGGUUCGUCGCGUCCGGUGUGAAAGUCCAUCGCUUAACGGUGGAUCCGCGCCGGGUACGGGCGGGCUUGAGUGCGGUAGGGGAGACUGGAAUUCCCGGUGUAACGGUGGAAUGUGUAGAUAUCGGGAAGAACACCAAUGGCGAAGGCAGGUCUCUGGGCCGUCACUGACGCUGAGGAGCGAAAGCGUGGGGAGCGAACAGGAUUAGAUACCCUGGUAGUCCACGCCGUAAACG
rnacentral:rRNA from 1 species